rnacentral:tRNA from 4 species
GCCAGCGUAGCUCAGGGGUAGAGCAACUGAUUCGUAAUCAGUAGGCCGGAGGUUCAAAUCCUCUCGCUGGCUCCA